ACGGGUAGCUGGUCUUAGAGGACGAUCAGCCACACUGGCACUGCGACACGGGCCAGACUCCUACGGGAGGCAGCAGUGAGGAAUACUGCGCAAUGGGCGAAAGCCUGACGCAGCGACGCCGCGUGGGGGAUGAAGGUCUUCGGAUUGUAAACCCCUUUCAGGAGGGAAGAUGGGGCGGGGUAACCCGUUCGGACGGUACCUCCAGAAGAAGCCACGGCUAACUUCGUGCCAGCAGCCGCGGUAAUACGAAGGUGGCAAGCGUUGUUCGGAUUUACUGGGCGUAAAGAGACCGUAGGCGGUGGGGUAAGUCCUGUGUGAAAGCUCUCGGCUCAACCGGGAAAGGACGCAGGAAACUGCCUUACUAGAGGACGGGAGAGGAGCGCGGAAUUCCCGGUGUAGCGGUGAAAUGCGUAGAGAUCGGGAGGAAGGCCGGUGGCGAAGGCGGCGCUCUGGAACGUACCUGACGCUGAGGGUCGAAAGCGUGGGGAGCAAACAGGAUUNAAAUACCCUGGUAGUCCACGCCCUAAACGAUGAGCACUAAGUGUCGGCGGGUUACCGCCGGUGCCGCAGC
rnacentral:rRNA from 1 species